GCCCUAGGGGGGGCAGCAGGCGCGAAAAUUCUCCAAUGCACGCAAGUGUGAGAGAGGAAUUCUGAGUGUGUUUCUUUAUGAAACACUUUUGUCAUCUUUAAAAAGGAUGGCGAAUAAGGGUUGGGUAAGAUCGGUGCCAGCAGCCGCGGUAAUCCCGACGACCCGAGUGGGACUCGCUUUUAUUGGGUCUAAAACAUUCGUAGCUGGUUUUAUAAGUUCUGUGUUAAAUCGUUAGGCUUAAUCUAACGGCUGCGCAGAAUACUAUAAGGCUAGAGACUGGGAGGCGUAAUGAGUACAUAAGAGGUAACGGUAAAAUGUUCUAAUCUCUUCUGGACUAACAAUUAGCGAAGGCACAUUACGAGAACAGUUCUGACGGUCAGGAAUGAAGGCCAAGGGCGCAAAACGGAUUAGAUACCCGUGUAGUCUUGGCUGUAAACACUGUAGACUAAACAUUGUGACCUCUUAGAGAGGUGGCAGUGUUGUAGCGAAGGCGUAGAGUCUACUACCUGGGGAGUACAGCCGCAAGGCAGAAACUUAAAGGAAUUGGCGGGGGAGCACUACAAGGAGUGACGCGUGCGGUUUAAUUAGAUUCUACCCCGUGAACCUUACCAGGAGCGACAGCAGAAUGAAGGUCAGUCUGAAGGGCUUACCUGACACGCUGAGCGGCGGUGCAUGGCC
rnacentral:rRNA from 1 species